UACAGAGGUCUCAAGCGUUGUUCGGAUUUACUGGGCGUAAAGGGCGCGUAGGCGGCCACUGCAAGUCAGUUGUGAAAUCUCCGGGCUUAACUCGGAAAGGUCAACUGAUACUGCAGGGCUAGAGUGCGGAAGGGGCAACUGGAAUUCUCGGUGUAGCGGUGAAAUGCGUAGAUAUCGAGAGGAACACCUGCGGCGAAGGCGGGUUGCUGGGCCGACACUGACGCUGAGGCGCGAAAGCCAGGGGAGCGAACGGG
rnacentral:rRNA from 1 species